UAAUGACAACCCACAGAAAGGCGAAGACCAGAGGCCCCAAAAAGGGCCUAGGUUGAUCAGCCUAUGGAGCUUAGGCCGAUCGGCCUAGGGUCCCAUGGAGACUAUUCAUCCUCAUCUUCGGCGAGCACUCCUCCAAGAAGACUUAGAGGCUAAAUUUUAGAAGAUAUGGAAAGUUGAUCUUGGGAUCAAGAUGAAGCAAGCAGCACUUCGGAAGGUUAUUAAGAUCCAUCCUCAUUCGAAGGUUAUCAUCGAACCAUGCCAUACUCCCAGGAAAAGCUCCAAUGACCUUCAACAAAACGGUACCUCUACCCGAAACCAACAUAGGUGGGUAGGUAGAGAAUACCUAGGGGCGCGAGACAACUCCCUCUAAGGAACUCGGCAAAAUAGCCUCGUAAAUUUGGGAGAAGGGGUGCCCCCUCGCAAAAUGGGGUCGCAGUGACCAGGCCCGGGCGACUGUUUACCAAAAACACAGGCCCAUAUGCAAGCGGGAAUAAGGUUCUAGAACAUUAGAGAAAACUUGGCGACGAAGUUGGAUGCGAGGGGGUAAAA
rnacentral:ncRNA from 1 species